rnacentral:lncRNA from 1 species
GGUUGGAAUGCAUGGAGUCUAACUCUGACUUCAUAGCUUCCAACCAUUUCUCGAAAUCGAUAUCAGAUAUCGCCUCGUCGUAGGUUUUGGGAUCCUGCGUGUGAUCCCUAUCUCCCACUAGGAACAUUUCCUCGGUAUCCUCUUCUAGUAUACCUAAGUAUCUAUCGGAAGGAUGGAAGACCCUACUAGAUCUGCGAGGUGGUUGAGGGACAUCGUGUACUGGCUCUGUAUGAAUGGGUUCGAUAGGAUCCAUGACUCGUUGCUUUUCAGAGACUUUCUCUUCAAGCUCAAUUUUCCUCCUACUGCCUCUAUCAAGGAUAAACUGGUUUUCCAAGA